rnacentral:sRNA from 1 species
AGACUCCCUCGGGUUCUCCCCAAAAAGCGUCCCGAAACCCAACUGCUCAUAAAACCAUUCCUCAGCCACAGGAAAAUAAAGAACACGUCUCAUUGCUUCCCUGGACCCUAAAUCGCCCUUGCUGAGCCUCAUGGGAAUUGUAGUCUUGUUACGUGACCCGCUUGAUAACCGCGGAAGGUCGCGCGGAAAGGAGAGGAAAUGACCUAGCGCAGUGCUGGGGUUUCUGGGGGCUGUAGUCAAGAAGCCUUGUGGUUCGUCGGGACAGCGCCUGACAGCAGAGGCAGAAGAAACUACAACUUCCAGCAUGCCCUGCGGUCUCGUUAUUCGUGUUUUUUCUCCGCCCUACGAUUAUUCCCUUCCGCCCCCUUCUCUAAGCCGCACACCCUGAAUAGAAGGGCUGGUCCAGCGGCGGCGGAGGCUGGCGCUGUCGUGAGAGGGAGGGCUCUGUGCGGAAGAGGGCGACCCUUGGGCGCUGGAGUACGCUUGGGAUUGGGGCUGCGAGUGAGCACCAGCGAUUGGUUCGGAAGCGGACAUUUGGU